GCCCAUCCCCCACAGCUCACAGUCACGGACGGGAUCACAGCCGGACGGCUUAUGACGCGGUCACGGAAAAUAAUAGCUAGCAAAGAAGCAAGGAGCUAACAACCAACCACAUCAAAGUUAUCAACGGCAAGUGUUAAAUAUGCAAUGUUAUACACAACAGUUUGUCAGUGAUAAAUUAAGAUUUGUGUGUGUGUGUGUGUGUGUGUGUGUGUGUCUCACAGCUGGACACAGACAAACUGGAGAGACAGCUGACAGGAUGUCGUCAUCUGUAACCGUCACUCGCCACAGUUCUCAAGCAAGGGACAAUAAUGGCAUCAGCCAUUCAAGUUAUGAUCCUGGCAGAUCUACUACUAUCUGAAAUGUAGUCUCUGCAGAUUGUUUCAAGAUGCACAAGAUGGAGCGUGGAGAGACAGGAAAUGGACCACAGUUUUUCAGCACCCACACCCCACACUCAAAUUCAUAUAGAAGUCCUCAAUUAUUAAAUGUUAAUAUGAUAGUUUAUAUUUAGCUGUGAAGUUAUAGUUCAUUGUCAUAAAUAUUAAACUACAUAUUAUUAUUAUUAUUAUUUUACAUGAUAUGCAAAUUUCACCAAUUUGUUCAAUGUGUUAAUGAACUUUUUGAAAGUGACUAUCUUUAAUAAUUCAGAUACCUGUUGAAAUGCACAUGUAAUUAUAUACUUGCUCGUAUCUGGAAGGUUGUGUUAAUAAAAAUGAUGUUGAAAGCAAAUGUUGCAAUACUGCUAAUCUUAAAAUAACAUUUUAUUAAACUAAACUUUGUAAUGUUCCAAAUAAAUGUUUUUAGGAUGUUGUAUUUUUAAGAAAAUGUAGGUGGAAAUAAAGUUGUAGGAACAUUAUGCUAACUAUAAAAUAACGUUCUAGCUACGUUAAGCAAACUGGACAUUUUAACGUUCUUGGAAUGUUCCAAAUAAACGUUCAUAGAACGUUAUAUUUUUUUUAAUGAAAUUUAGGUUGCAGGAACGUUAUGCUAACCAUAAAAUAAUGUUCUUGGAACGUUAAGCAAACUGGACAUUUUAACGUUCUUGGAAUGUUCCAAACAAACGUUCAUAUAACGUUAUAUUUUUAGUGAAAUUUAGGUUGCAAGAACGUUGUAGGAACAUUAUGCUAACAAAAAAUAACGUUCUAGGAACGUUAAGCAAACUGGACAUUUUAACGUUCUUGGAAUGUUCCAAACAAACGUUCAUAGAACAUUAUAUUUUUAGUGAAAUUUAGGUUGCAAGAACGUUGUAGGAACGUUAUGCUAACCAUCAAAUAACGUUCUAGCAACGUAACGCAAACUGGACAUUUCCACAUUUUUGGAACAUUCCAA